GUACUGUUGAGGAGUCUCAAAAUAGGACGAAACGACCGUCCAGUGC
rfam:Schistosoma mansoni, Puerto Rico, WGS project CABG01000000 data, contig: 0077